rnacentral:rRNA from 1 species
GACGAACGCUGGCGGCGUGCUUAACACAUGCAAGUCGAACGGAAAGACCCUGCUUUUGUGGGGUGCUCGAGUGGCGAACGGGUGAGUAACACGUGAGUAACCUGCCCUUGACUUUGGGAUAACUUCAGGAAACUGGGGCUAAUACCGGAUAGGAGCUCCUGCUGCAUGGUGGGGGUUGGAAAGUUUCGGCGGUUGGGGAUGGACUCGCGGCUUAUCAGCCUGUUGGUGGGGUAGUGGCUUACCAAGGCUUUGACGGGUAGCCGGCCUGAGAGGGUGACCGGCCACAUUGGGACUGAGAUACGGCCCAGACUCCUACGGGAGGCAGCAGUGGGGAAUAUUGCACAAUGGGCGGAAGCCUGAUGCAGCAACGCCGCGUGCGGGAUGACGGCCUUCGGGUUGUAAACCGCUUUCGCCUGUGACGAAGCGUGAGUGACGGUAAUGGGUAAAGAAGCACCGGCUAACUACGUG